rnacentral:lncRNA from 1 species
UUCUGUCACGCCCCGCGACCAACCGCCUAUUUGGACCGGGUCGCGGCGCCGACGACAGACCGCCGAACGGACCGGGAAUUCCCCUGUACGCGGACAGAGUCUCCCCAGUACGUCCGAGGCGUCGCAAUCCAAACAAUCAACGAGUGUUCCAACAAGGAACGGAUAUCAAUCCAGAUUGCAUAAGGAAGUAUCAAGUACAUAAUCUACUUGCUAUUACAAGCACUCAUUUAAAUACAUCUCAGUUUACAUUUUACUUCCGAUUACAAUCACAAUGUAUU